UGGGGAAUAUUGCACAAUGGGCGCAAGCCUGAUGCAGCAACGCCUCGUGAACGAUGAAGGUCUUCGGAUCGUAAAGUUCUGUUGCAGGGGAAGAUAAUGACGGUACCCUGUGAGGAAGCCCCGGCUAACUACGUGCCAGCAGCCGCGGUAAUACGUAGGGGGCUAGCGUUAUCCGGAUUUACUGGGCGUAAAGGGAGCGUAGGUGGACUUUCAAGUCGGUUGUUAAAGGCUAAGGCUCAACCGUAGUUAGCCUCCGAAACUGGAAGACUUGAGUGCAGGAGAUGAAAGUGGAAUUCCCAGUGUAGCGGUGAAAUGCGUAGAUAUUGGGAGAAACACCAGAAGCGAAGGCGGCGUUCUGGACUGCAACUGACACUGAGGCACGAAAGCGUGGGUAGCAAACAGG
rnacentral:rRNA from 1 species